AACGCGAAGAACCUUACCCAGGUUUGACAUGCAGAGGAAGUGUCCAGAGAUGGCCACGCCCUUCGGGGCUUCUGCACAGGUGCUGCAUGGCUGUCGUCAGCUCGUGCCGUGAGGUGUUGGGUUAAGUCCCGCAACGAGCGCAACCCUUAUCGUUAGUUGCCAACAGGUGAAGCUGGGAACUCUAGCGAGACUGCCUGGGUUAACCAGGAGGAAGGUGAGGAUGACGUCAAGUCCGCAUGGCCCUUAUAUCUGGGGCUACACACGUGCUACAAUGGCCGGUACAGAAGGAAGCGAAACCGUGAGGCGGAGCAAAUCCUAAAAAGCCGGCCCCAGUUCAGAUUGUAGUCUGCAACUCGACUACAUGAAGACGGAAUUGCUAGUAAUGGCGAGUCAGCAACAUCGCCGUGAAUACGUUCCCGGGCCUUGUA
rnacentral:rRNA from 1 species